ensembl:lncRNA
GCGGAAGACAGCGAGCGAAACACGACACCCAGAGCUCCGACAGAGGCACUGGGGGAGGAGAGAGAGUCGCGUUGUGUGAGUGAGUAGAAGAAUAAAAAAAGUGUGGAGAAAGAGAGAGGUAGCCGUCUCGUUUCGGAAUUUAACAGAGAAGAAAUCAUUUUGGCCGCGAGAUGUCUAAUAACGACGAAGAUGCGGUCGAGGCGGAGUAAACGGCGACAGGACAGUUGAGUGAAAGUAGUUGUAAACAAGUGAAGGGACGAAGGGUUUGUUGGUUGUUCGGAGGAGUCGGGACGGCUGUACGCUUUUCCGCUACAACUUCUUCGGCGGAUUGAACGCUGUGUCUGGACAGCGAGGUCUCGGCCGUUCAACUCAGUGGAAACAACCUGUCGGUGGGCUGAGGACAGGGUUAGCGAGGGAAGAGGCACCCAGGCGGCAGAAACUUUAUUUGAGCUUCCUCGACGACUUCUUCUUCUUCAUUUGGAUCCAAAGGCUGAGACCAGACCGACUUUUUGUUCUCCAAGUCUCCGGAGGAAUUCUCCCGACACUCUUCGGAUCCUUGCCUGCAGUCUGACUUGAUCAAAACAAUGAAGACCCCCGGAGACACUGCUGACAAUUCAAUUGUUGAACUUGAACUUGAAUGAAAUGGCACUGUGGCCAGGAUCAACUCACACCACUCACACAAAUGCACCCAGAAUGCUUUGGUCAGUCUCUCAAAAAACGAGUUGGCCAACCUUUUGAAAUAUUCUAGGGAGGCAUCAACGGACUCUUAUGAAAUACGUAGUAAGAGAAAAACUCAAAGAAAAGCGGAUGUCUCUUUUGCUUACUUGGCGCCAAUCAGACAAGCCUUCAAUUCUGAACGCUGCGUCGCCGGUUGACAAAUGACCUCUGGUGCCGAGGACUACAGCUGUGGACAUCUCUGUAUUUAGUCAGGAAUGCAGCUAAAAAGUGAACAAUGUGUUCAGCCACUCAAUACUAAUGGCCCAACGCACCAUUAGGCCGGGGCUCUGUGGACCAGGGCCGGUCAGCAAGGCAGGGUUACCCUUGACCGCCUGUCUGCCUCUGACCGCUGUCCGGCCGGGGCUUCCGCCGGCCCCCCUCCCCCCCCCCCCCAUCCACAGUGAGCAACACAUUAGGGCCACCACUGGUCAAUGACCCGCAUGGAUUACCUCUCAGACAGAUACCCGGGCAGGGGGCAGCCGAUAAGAGAUACCUCCCUCCCCACUAAAAAAACCCCCUCAAAAGGUCAAUAAUGUUAACCUGUUAUUCUUUUAACGUUAUGAAACCGCUGGACAUUUAUUAGCCAGCUGUGUGUUUGUAUGUUUGUCAGUGACUGUAUGCGUGUUGUGAGCACAUUUAUACUUGUUCUUUACCUAUAAGAAGGGCUUUUUUUUUCUUUAUUCCCAUUGCUAAAGCGUAUGUUAGUAUUCAGCCAGCCUAUCGUAAAGGACGUUGAUGCAUUGGCUUCUCAUUUGACACAACGCAUGAGUGACUAUUGAUAGAUCAUUGUAAUGAUUUAUUUUGUUUGGGGGGUGGGUGGGACAUGUGUGAAUGCGAACCACAUGCGCAGGCACACACACAUCGCACACACACAUUUGUGCAUGUGCACACGCACACUGCAGCUUUUUAUUGGAAUUCUUGGACCUCCCACAUUCCUGCUUAGAAGGCUAAUAGUUGCCGUGUGUGCUGCAUUACAUUCAGAGGGGAAAACACAACAGUCACUAUCUCACCAAGCCUUCCCUCAGCAAAUACUCAUAGCGACGUGCAAAGGCAUGCACGCCUUCAAACACAGACACAUUUUAACUACCUCCAAAGCAUGGUUGAACCCGGCCCGAGACAAAACAGCCCACAUACACUCACUACAGUCAAACAAAACCAUUAUUAGAUCAAAUUCCUUUCGUCUGCCAUGUAGUAGAAAUACAAUUCAACAUUGAUCCAUGCAUGUUGCUUUUGUUCAAAUCCUCAGGAGAGGGCUAUGAGGGUUGUCGCUCCUACUGCCAGGAACACUUUAAACCUGUUCUGUUUGGAUUUUAUGCCUUUACACCUGAAACUGGAUGAGAAGAACCAGGACUUACCUGUUCAGUGGCCUUAAAAGACUGUUUCAAUGUACACCUCCUGUCUUAGUCCUGCAAAACCGGGAAAGGGAUGUGACUGGCUCUAGUAUUAUGGCUUAAAUCGGUAUGCAUGACAAGUCAGGAAAUGCAGCAUGAAACAAUUCAGAUUAGAAAAGAAAGUUAUUUUUCCAAAUUCAAAAGCUGCGUUUGCGGUAUGUGAGUGUGUGUUGGUAUUUAUUAGGCUGAAUAAUACAUGGUAUCAUUGGAUAAGUAUUUAUAGGGAAGCAACGUAAUUAAACUUUUAUGACAAAACUGGUCUUCGGUGCUGCCUAGCAUAUAGCAUAUCCUGUUCCUUUCCCGCUGAACGCAGCAUGCAGCCACACACACGCAUGCCUGCACACACGGGCAUUCACAUACACACAUUCACAUGCACUAUCCCAGCGGCCCACCAGUCCAGCUCACUAAUCCCAUUACUACUAUAGAAGACCAUUCCUCCCAAUUGUAUAUCUUUCUUAGUAAACCCGCUUGUUUCUUUCCUACGCCGUAUGCAGAUGGUAAAUCCUCCUAAUCUUACUAUAAUACUUCUACUCUAAUACCACUGACAUCUGGGAAAGACAUCUUAAUAAUUGUUCUAUAUCGUUUAUCCGCUAUAUGUCUCUUUCCUUCAGAUAUUUACCGUUUAAAGAGGUUUGUUUGCAUCCCGGCCUCCAACUACGUACUCUAAUCUUCUGUCUCAUCUCCACAGUGGCAUUCGCAAACCUGAAUGCCUGCUGUUGUUUUUGUAACUUGUAAUCCCUUCCUCUCCGUCUCUUCCCAUACAUUCUGAUGAGGGCUUUCCAAUCUCACACUGCCCUUUUCCUCCAUCCCAAAUAUUUACAUUCUCCCUCUACUCUGGUUGGCUGGGCAUGACAUCUGCUACAAGCAGCUUGACAAUCCCUGUGUGUGUGUGUGUUGUGUGUGUGUGUGUGUGUGUGUGUGUGUGUGUGUGUGCGUGUGCGUGUGCGUGCAUGCGUGUGCAGUAGUCCUGCUCUGGGUCAUAUUACUUUUAUCCAUUUUUAGAAUCGGACGAGGCCAUGUAUGAUAUAACGACCGGGCAGGCUCAUGCUCACACACACACAGUGAGUGUUGUUUCAGGGGAUUACAGCGUUUGAUGAGAACAGUGAGCUGAAACCCCUGACUAGACUUCUGUGUGAGUGCGUGUCUAUGUGAGUAGGGAAAAAUGUGGCAGUAGAAGUUAAGGAGGUAGAUGUAAGUUCACAAGGACAUCAACUCGGAGUCACGUGAAAAUGCAAGGAGCCGUUAGCCUAGCCUUGCUUAGCCUAGCCACGGCUGAGAUGGAGAGACAGAGACACGGUGUGGCACUUCCCAUGAAAACAAGAAGAAAACGAGUUGUAAGCACAUGUAACGGCGUGCGGGAGGUAUGCUAAUGUAACGCCGGGCAUGCAUUACAUGGGUAACAGUGUGCCACUGUGCGAGAAGGGUAGUGCUGGAUGAAUCAGGGGUCUGUUCAGCGGGAGGUUGUAGCGUUUGGCAGGGCAAGUGUGCAGGUCGCUAGGACUCCGGGAGUCCUCCUGAAUCAUUUCUGUCCCACAGUGCAGAUUUCCUUUUAAUGCGUUGGAGGCCCCGGCGCUGUGCCUUCUUGUUGUUCCUUCCCCGGCUUCACCUUGAAGCCGGGGAGCCCAGGCAUCGGUUAUAUACAACUUUUAGGAAAAUCGUUUUUUAUUUCAGGGCUUUUUAAUUUUUUAUGUGCUGCUACAUCACCUAGACCUACACCUGCCUCGUGCUGCCCACUCACUCACACCACACACACUGGGGUCUUUGUGCUGCAUUCUCAAACACCAGCCAACCACAUGCACGCACGCACACACACAAACGUGCGCACGCUCCCAUACACACACGCGCUCCCAUACACAGCGUCCCUCCAGCUGGCACUGAGGCUGUGUGUGUUUGUAUGCGUGUGGGUGUUCUCCUGGGAAGGUAUUAUACUUGUCUGACCCAAGUAUUAGCAUGUUGCCUCACAAAGCUACAUAGAAUGUGUGUGUGUCAUUAAUGUUGAAAUGCAGAAGGCGAAGAUGCCUCAUGGAUCUAUGUCACAUCUAUUGUGUGUGCGCACAUUUCGAGGAGUGAUCAGGUUUGGCAUUGUACAGCUGUAAUGCAUCCAAGUUGUGUCUGAACGGGGAAUCCCCCAGUCCACCCUACACCUGGGAACACUAAUCUGAUGUGAGCAAUGAGUACUUUUAAAAGGUACGCAAGACAAUGGAUUACAUGCCUGUGUGCUUGCAUUUGAGUGUGUGUGGUUGAUCAGGGAAUGUCCAACCUCCUCUCCUCUCCUGGCCCAAAGUUGCAUUGAGUAAGGAAUGACCUCAUGUUGUGUACAUGUUAUACACUGUGCAGAAUAAUCAGUGUUUGUCCACGCAGCAACUUACAUAACCCCGUCCAACAGUACGCUGGAAGAGGGAUAAAGUUCACGACUAUCUCUCACAUUGGGUUCCCUCUCUCUCAAUGUGCCAGCUCACUUCCUUCCUCACUCAUUUUUCUUCCUAUUUAUUAAUGAAUGUCCUGUCUCUCUCUCUGACUCUCUAUCUCUGUCAGGCACUCUCUCUCUCUUCCUCCCUCCCUCCUGCCAUCUCUCCACCUUGCCCUAUGCCUCUUUGUUUGAAGAAGAGCGGUGCUGUACGGAAAUAUUGGAGGCCUUUCUGCCCUUUAAAACUCUUUGAUCAGACGCUUUGAUUUGGACGGCCCUGGCCACACACCCUUUUCCUUUCAUGAAAUAAAGCAGCGGAUAGAUUUUGGCGUUGGCGUUGCUAAAUCAGAACAGAUGUAAGAAUCCAGUGUUUUAAUUUCACAUCACAGCACAAAGACUAACCCACAUCCUCUUUGUGAUAAAGAUACAUCCACGAGAAGGUAAAAGUGCCACUCGCUCUUAGUAAGGUAACCUUUAUCACAAAAGAUUCAUGUUGGUUCCCUAUAGCUCCCCUUCUGCAUUAUUAGUGAUUUAUUGUUAUGAUAUGAAUGUUGUCAGGUUUAUGAGGUAGUUAUUAAAUAAAGUUAACCAAAGUACAUCUGUGAGCAUAAGAGCCGUCCCGGAAACACUGAGGACCUGUUUUCUCUCAGACCUGUGUCAUUUACAAGCUAGGAAGAAUCAGUGUGAGACUGGCUGCCUUUAAACCUCUCUUCCUGGAUAACUGGCCUACUGUCAGUGAAGGUUACACGACAGCGGAAAUGGUUAUGGCCGUGCAGAUGAGGAGUACCUGAAUAAAGAACAUCAGACAUGCAGUGAUGAUCAACACCUACAAGAAUAAACCCGACAGUACCAUUGUCAAGGCUCGUCUCUGGUCUAGAGUACAGAAUUGAAAUGACAGCAUCAGUUCAACAAUCACUAUACCUCUGAAUUCAUUCGCUAAAAUCAUGAGAGGGAGGGAUUUUAUAUUCAGUAUCAGCAAAACAGUGAUUUAGUUGUAGGUACAACCAGGCCGCAAGACUGAGGCGGAGUGAUGCAAGUCCCAGUCCUGUUUACUCUGCACAUCAGCAUUCAUUGAAGGCCCAAGACAAUGAUUCGGUCUGAGCUCACGUUUCAAUUGAAAGAGCAGCAUGGAACAUUAACAUUGUCAAAGAACGUUGAACAAUUCACAAAUUGUGACAGAAAAUAGGACACAAGUAGUGUAGGACAUUAACGUCAAUAUAAAAAUUUAACAAAGAAACAUCACUCCCCCCACCUCCUCCCCUCUCUCUGUGAGGUUACAACAUUACCAGUCUCUAUCCUCCUCGCUGCCUGGCUCUUGCAUAACCGCCAGCCGGAUUUGCGCCAGCUGAGAGAGAGAGAGACUGACUGACUGACUGACUGACUGACUGACUGACUGACUGACUAGUGUGAUCUAUGCUUGUGCCUCUGUGCCUAUGUGUGUCUAUCAGCGUGUGCUGUCUCAACAGGCAGCACGGAUAAUCACUGUUUAUCCCCCAGUUAGCAUUGGGCUGCCAGGAGAGAGCACGCGCCUACCGCACGGCCAAACACAAACACGCACAACAGGGGAGACUGUGAUGAUGUACAAAUUUGGACAUUGAGGCCAAAAGCUCUCACAGAAGAGCAGGGACCACGAGCCUACUUGGCCUCACUUCUACUUUAAAGGGCUUGCACGGCGAUACGCGCGGAGACACACACACAACAAGGCACGCAGAGAAACAUGAAUUGAAGAACAAAGCUAAGGCCUGGGGAAGUGAAGGUUAUUUUCUUGUUCUCGCUCUCUCCCCCUCUAUUUUACUCUCGCUCUCUAUCUCUCACUCCCUCUUAAAUGGACAAUGCACCGGCUGGUUACGGUGUCGGGCGAGGUGAGAGUUACG